AGCCAAACAACGAGGCUNCUCGCCAGAGUACUACUAGCAACAGCUUAAAACUCAAAGGACUUGGCGGUGCUUUACAUCCCUCUAGAGGAGCCUGUUCUGUAAUCGAUAAACCCCGAUAAACCUCACCAACUCUCGCUAAUACAGCCUAUAUACCGCCAUCUUCAGCAAACCCUAAAAAGGAAACAAAGUAAGCAAAACCAUGAAACAUAAAAACGUUAGGUCAAGGUGUAGCCUAUGAGUUGGAAAGAAAUGGGCUACAUUUUCUAACAUAGAAUAUCAACGAAAAUUUUCGUGAAACCGAAAAUAGAAGGAGGAUUUAGUAGUAAAUUAAGAAUAGAGAGCUU
rnacentral:rRNA from 1 species